GGGGGCGUAGCUCAGAGGGAGAGCACCUGCCUUGCAAGCAGGGGGUCAAGGGUUCGAAUCCCUUCGCCUCCACCA
rnacentral:tRNA from 2 species